ACUCUCCCAAGCACGGGCGAGCAUCCUCCCCUGGCCUCAGCUCCCGGGCGCCCCCCUCGGUUGAAGUUGACGUCUCUCGGGACCUGAUCGCUCCCAGUUAUCCGCACCGAGUACUGUCAAGUACCGCUGCGUGCCCAGAGCGGCACGGCGGCUCACUGACUGCACUCGGGGAGAAAGGUCGCUCCGGAGAAGCAGAGAGGUGGGGUGAAGGGGGUGGUGUGGAAAGCUCUAGGAGGACGACCCUGAACAGUGCAAAGAAAUAAACGCCGCCACGUGCGCGCGCGCGAGUGUGUGUGUGUGUGAGCGCGUGCCGGGCCCGGGCGUCAGCGCCCAGCAGCCCGGGGGGACCGGGCGGAAGGGCCCCGCCGCCGAGGUGACCGGGACCGCGUGAGGGGCGCGGAUACUCACACGAAAGCGUGGUAGACGAACGCCCAGCCGCGGGGUCUCUCCAGCACGUUGUACAGCCUCGCGGAGCUCGGAAGAAGAAACCGGGUUCUCUCCGUCAAGAAAUUUUCGUGGAAGUUCGAGAAAGUCGUAAAACGGCCAAGUCUCGGCAGCAGCGGUGGCUCUGGUGUGUGACAGAAAAAUCCGUGGGGAUGGAGCGCCCUGGACACCGGCUCAGCGACGUCCUCACCACACCCCUGUUUGCUGUAACUUACAAGGGGAGAGACGUGUCUCGAGUGACGACCGGCUGGGUCUCCCAGUGCCUCGGACACUAGAGCGAUCCAAAGCCCCAAGCCUUUGGGAGGGAGGAAGGCCACGGUGCCACUGGCUGCGGCCUCUGGCCGUCAGCAGGUCUGUACCAUAAAGCGUAAACAGUUAACAUCACAGUCAGCGCGAGGAAACAGAAAGAAAGCCAGUCUUGAGAACUUCUUCCAGCAGAGUGGACCCCCCUCUCCCCAUGUGAAGGAAACGAUCAUGAAGUUAAACUGCAGGGAAAACUUAAGAUUCCACGACAAAGCCGGAGCAGCUGGUUCCAAGGAGAAAGAAGAAAGAACACAAAGGAUUAAAAGGCCAUUUACUGAUUUUUACACUCUGCUGUGCAUCGUCUGUGAACAGCAAAAUCCGAGGAACGGAUGUGAGUCCUAAAACAGUACCCAAAAGCUGCUGCUUCAAAAUAUGACACUCUUGGGGGCGGGGGGCAAACGCUUGGUCACGUCUCACUGCGGCAUCCACUACCGAAAGUCGAACAGAAGGUCUGACUGUGCUUUUCCAUCCCCAGUGGCUCUUCAAAUGCCAAAUGACAUCGCUGGCCAGCAUGACUCUCAGUAUUUGUUUUCCCAAAGCGUGUAUUUAAAAGCUGUUUUUCAUUCUUGAGUUCAAUAUGGACAAGCAAGCCACGGUCUUUGCCCGCAAGAAUCUUCCAUGCUAUCAAGGGAGAGAGCUUCAGAGACGACUAACCAAAGGCAGUCAAGCAAAUAGUGUGCUUUGUGUGGGGAUACUGGGGAGGAAGCUAGUAAUUCUUCUGAAAGAGGCAGAAAAAUGUUUACAGACGAGGUGAAAUCAGAGUUCACCCUUGACCACUGAAUUUAUUCCACAGAAAAUAUAUCGGAAGGAAACGAGAAACAAUUAAGGCACACAAAUCUGAGAAUUUAUAAGACUGUGUAAUUGGUUAUUAGAAGUAACCUUUAAUAUGGUUAUUAGAAAAUUAAGGAAGAUGCUUGGCACUUGGAUAAAGGGAGCUACAACUUAGGAUGUUAAUUAGAAAGACCCAUUUCUUCUCUCCUAACUCUACUACUUUCUGAUAAGUACAAAAAUCAACAAAGAACAGACAGAAGCUGGCAGCCUAGCUGCCCUUUGAGUAUUUAUUAUGUGUAAACACAGUGCUAAUUCCUUUGCACGUGAUUAUCAAUUAAUUCUGUCAACAGCUCUUACAGUUAGGUAUUCUUAUUUCCAUUUUAUAGCCGGAAAAACUAAGAUUGGAAAAGUUACUUAAACUUCCUGAGGGCACUUGGUUAGUCCGUACUAUAAAAGGGAUUCAUAUCCAUGCUGGCUGAUUCCAAAGUUUGUUCCUCCCACUGCGUUGCAAGAUCUCCAUCACACAAGAGAUGUGCUGAAAAGAACAGCAAGCAGCCAGACCCAUCUGGUUCGUACCUUCCAGCAGGAAGCGCUCAGGGUGGGGACUCAGCAGGGAAGGGAUCUACAGAGACUGAGUUCACAGUGCUUA